rnacentral:rRNA from 1 species
CCAACAGGGAUUGCCCUAGUAACGGCGAGUGAAGCGGCAACAGCUCAAAUUUGAAAUCUGGCCUCGGCCCGAGUUGUAAUUUGCAGAGGAUGCUUCUGGCGCGGUGCCUUCCGAGUUCCCUGGAACGGGACGCCACAGAGGGUGAGAGCCCCGUAUGGUCGGACACCAAGCCUGUGUGAAGCUCCUUCGACGAGUCGAGUAGUUUGGGAAUGCUGCUCUAAAUGGGAGGUAAAUCUCUUCUAAAGCUAAAUACCGGCCAGAGACCGAUAGCGCACAAGUAGAGUGAUCGAAAGAUGAAAAGCACCUUGAAAAGGGGGUUAAAUAGUACGUGAAAUUGUUGAAAGGGAAGCACUUAUGACCAGACUUGGGCCGGGCGGCUCAUCAGGGGUUCUCCCCUGUGCACUCCGCCCGGCACAGGCCAGCAUCGGUUUUCGCGGGGGGAUAAGACCGACGGGAACGUAGCACCCUCCGGGGUGUGUUAUAGCCCGGCGGACGAUACCCUCGCGGGGACCGAGGACCGCGCUUCGGCAAGGAUGCUG